rnacentral:rRNA from 1 species
UACGUAGGGCGCAAGCGUUGUCCGGAUUCACUGGGUGUAAAGGGCGCGUAGGCGGGCUCUUAAGUCAGGGGUGAAAGCCCAAGGCUCAACCUUGGAAUUGCCUUUGAUACUGAGGGCCUUGAGACCGGAAGAGGUCGGCGGAACUGCGAGUGUAGAGGUGAAAUUCGUAGAUAUUCGCAAGAACACCAGUGGCGAAGGCGGCCGACUGGUCCGGUUCUGACGCUGAGGCGCGAAAGCUAGGGGAGCAAACGGG